rnacentral:lncRNA from 1 species
CUGAGAGGUAGCUGUUUCUGUUUAGAGUGAAACAAGGUGCUCUGGGCCUGACAAACAGCUCAGUUUGCCUGGGCUAUUAAGCUAGAGGCUAAAAAGGGGCUUCCCUGACUCAAGCAUUUGGUACUCCCUCAAAACUUCAGUCAGACUGUGGCAGUUCCUGCUUGUCGGGAGGCUGGGCAGGAUGACGAAAGGUCCCUUGCAUCUAACCAUUUCCCCUGGACUGCCUCCCCUCCCCACAGAUCCCUAGCCCCUUGAAGCCAUGCGGGGUCCAACCUGUAAAGUUGUUGGAGAUUCUGCAAUCCCCUCUAGGGCAGCAGUCUUUGAAGCUGCAGUACCACGUGGUCAGGAGGUCCAGGUACCGCUGGCCCAACAGAGGAAGGCGCCAGCCCAGGGGCCCCGUGGCUGCCUCCUCGUCCUCGUCACAGUCGUCGGGCCACACCUGGCAGCUGAAGAGCGUCCAGUACCGCUUGGAGAGGGCACCCGCCGCCCUGAGCUGCUCCUGCAGGCGCUGGAAGCCCGGCCAGGCCCAGGCCGAGCCCGGCUCGUCGGUUCCCUCCCACGGCCUGGAGGCGCCGCGGGGCUCAGGCGCGCCCGGGAGCAGCAGCAGGAAAAAGAGCCAAAGCUGGCGCCACGGACCGCGAAGCAUGGCCGGCCCCGAGCUGCGGGACCAUCCGGCUGCCGGCCUAGCCAGGCUCCCUUAAGCCCGGGGCGGUCAGGCGGGGACCGCACUUCCUAGGCGGGCUUGAACCCGGGAUUGGUGUUGCUGUGGCGACCGGCGGGCCGGGCUGAGUGCGCACUGGCAGCCUCCGUACACGUGACCCAGGCGGGAACCCGAAACCCUGUCUGGGGUCCUGAGAGGCAGUCCCGAGACUGACUUCAGGCCAGGUGCAACUAGCCGGCUUCCAGGAAGCAGUUUAUUCUGGGUCGUGAUUGUGGUUGCAAAGAAGGUGAACUCAGGCUUUGAAAUGGCCACUGUCAAUCACUCCGCUAGGACUUUCGGACGGCUCUGGUGGCCCAUCAGAGGCCUACCGAAUAAGGACACUCCUGCUUUGCCUCGCGUUUGCAGAUCAACUUCCCGCCAACCUGUUAGAGGAAGCCGGAAAACCGUCUCAGUCAGGAGCGUUAGGCAGGCCAGGGGAGUCAGCUGAGUGGAGAAGAGGCCCUGGAAAGAAGGGCACAGCUAGGUGCCUGUCUGGCCAAGGUUGCCCUGGCUCCUCCGCAGAGGGAAAUGAAACCGCAGCAAAACACCAGCAGGUUUCCACAGUGGGAGUCCACGAAAAGCAAGAGGAAGCUGAUUGACGGGCUCCAGUCUGGAGGUG